rnacentral:rRNA from 1 species
UACGAAGGGUGCAAGCGUUACUCGGAAUUACUGGGCGUAAAGCGUGCGUAGGUGGUUUGUUAAGUCUGUUGUGAAAGCCCCGGGCUCAACCUGGGAAUGGCAAUGGAUACUGGCAAGCUAGAGUGCGGUAGAGGGUAGUGGAAUUCCCGGUGUAGCGGUGAAAUGCGUAGAGAUCGGGAGGAACACCAGUGGCGAAGGCGGCUACCUGGACCAGCACUGACGCUCAUGUGCGAAAGCGUGGGGAGCAAACAGG